rnacentral:rRNA from 1 species
ACGAACGCUGGCGGCACGCUUAACACAUGCAAGUCGAACGAGAGAAGAGGAGCUUGCUUUUCUGAUCUAGUGGCGGACGGGUGAGUAACACGUGAGCAAUCUGCCUUUCAGAGGGGGAUACCGAUUGGAAACGAUCGUUAAUACCGCAUAACAUAAUUGAACCGCAUGAUUUGAUUAUCAAAGAUUUAUCGCUGAAAGAUGAGCUCGCGUCUGAUUAGCUAGUUGGUAAGGUAACGGCUUACCAAGGCGACGAUCAGUAGCCGGACUGAGAGGUUGAUCGGCCACAUUGGGACUGAGACACGGCCCAGACUCCUACGGGAGGCAGCAGUGGGGAAUAUUGCACAAUGGAGGAAACUCUGAUGCAGCGAUGCCGCGUGAGGGAAGAAGGUUUUAGGAUUGUAAACCUCUGUCUUCAGGGACGAAAAAAGACGGUACCUGAGGAGGAAGCUCCGGCUAACUACGUGCCAGCAGCCGCGGUAAUACGUAGGGAGCGAGCGUUGUCCGGAAUUACUGGGUGUAAAGGGAGCGUAGGCGGGAUCGCAAGUCAGAUGUGAAAACUAUGGGCUUAACCCAUAAACUGCAUUUGAAACUGUGGUUCUUGAGUGAAGUAGAGGUAAGCGGAAUUCCUAGUGUAGCGGUGAAAUGCGUAGAUAUUAGGAGGAACAUCAGUGGCGAAGGCGGCUUACUGGGCUUUAACUGACGCUGAGGCUCGAAAGCGUGGGGAGCAAACAGGAUUAGAUACCCUGGUAGUCCACGCCGUAAACGAUGAUUACUAGGUGUGGGGGGACUGACCCCUUCCGUGCCGCGGCAAACGCAAUAAGUAAUCCACCUGGGGAGUACGACCGCAAGGUUGAAACUCAAAGGAAUUGACGGGGGCCCGCACAAGCAGUGGAGUAUGUGGAUUAAUUCGAAGCAACGCGAAGAACCUUACCAGGUCUUGACAUCGUAUGCAUAGCUCAGAGAUGAGUGAAAUCUCUUCGGAGACAUAUAGACAGGUGGUGCAUGGUUGUCGUCAGCUCGUGUCGUGAGAUGUUGGGUUAAGUCCCGCAACGAGCGCAACCCUUACUGUUAGUUGCUACGCAAGAGCACUCUAGCAGGACUGCCGUUGACAAAACGGAGGAAGGUGGGGAUGACGUCAAAUCAUCAUGCCCCUUAUGACCUGGGCCUCACACGUACUACAAUGGCUGUCAACAGAGGGAAGCAAAGCCGCGAGGUGGAGCGAACCCCUAAAAGCAGUCUUAGUUCGGAUUGUAGGCUGCAACCCGCCUACAUGAAGUCGGAAUUGCUAGUAAUCGCAGAUCAGCAUGCUGCGGUGAAUACGUUCCCGGGCCUUGUACACACCGCCCGUCACGCCAUGGGAGUCGGUAACACCCGAAGCCUGUAGUCUAACCGCAAGGAGGACGCAGUCGAAGGUGGGAUUGAUGACUGGGGUG